GACGAACGCUGGCGGCGUGCCUAAUACAUGCAAGUCGAACGCAGUGGGAGCGGGUGAGUAACAAGUGGGUAACCUCGCAUCAGAGGGGAUAAAACUUGGAAACCGGCGCUAAACAGAUACUGAUGGAUGGAGCCGCGGUGCAUUCGCUAGUUGGUGGGGUAACGGCCCACCAAGGCCAAGAUGCAUAGCCGGGCUGAGAGGGUGAACGGCCACACUGGGACUGGAACGCGGCCCAGACUCCUACGGGAGGCAGCAGUGGGGAAUCUUCCGCAAUGGACGAAAGUCUGACCGAGCAACGCCGCGUGAGUGAAGAAGGGCUUCGGAUUGUAAAACUCUGUUAAUCGGGACGCGGUACCGGAAUAGAAAGCCACGGCUAACUACGUGCCAGCAGCCGCGGUAAUAC
rnacentral:rRNA from 1 species